GUAGUCAUAUGCUUGUCUCAAAGAUUAAGCCAUGCAUGUCUAAGUAUAAACAAAUUUGUACUGUGAAACUGCGAAUGGCUCAUUAAAUCAGUUAUAGUUUAUUUGAUGAUACCUUGCUACAUGGAUAACUGUGGUAAUUCUAGAGCUAAUACAUGCAAUCAAGCCCCGACUUCCGGAAGGGGUGUAUUUAUUAGAUAAAAAACCAACGCGGUUCGCCGCUCCCUUGGUGAUUCAUAAUAACUUCUCGAAUCGCAUGGCCUUGCGCCGGCGAUGCUUCAUUCAAAUAUCUGCCCUAUCAACUUCCGAUGGUAGGAUAGAGGCCUACCAUGGUUUCAACGGGUAACGGGGAAU
rnacentral:rRNA from 1 species